rnacentral:lncRNA from 1 species
CUCUCCCGGCGCUCAGUCCCGCUGCAGACGCGCGCUCGCUCCGUCGGUGCCCACUAGAAGAGGCGGCUUCCUGUGUGAGGUCGCCCACAUUCCAGGCCAACAUGAACAGCUGAUUUGGAUACCAUCAAGACACCUGAAAUUUUAGCAUGAGCCAGAUGCCAAGGAAGAGACUCCGGGAGGAUCCUGAGGACCCCCCGGUUGCAGCCAUGUCGAGGCUGAUGCUGAGGAGGACCCCAACUGUCACGAGAAACACCCGUCGAACACAGCCACCCAGCUGGAGACAGAUCAAGAAGCUGUCACAGAUGAUGGAAGAAAACCUGAGGAAAGCGGGACAACCACUCAGAAUGAGUAAUGGUAGCUAUGAUAGUGGUAAUCACCAUUGCCAUGGUGUCUUGCUCUGUUGCCCAAGCUGGAGUGCAGUGGCAUGAUCUCGGCUCAUUGCAACCUCUGCCUUCCGGGUUCAAGCGAUUCUCCUUCCUCAGCCUCCUGAGUAGUUGGGAUUACAGGUGCACACCACCACGCCCAGCUAGUUUUUGUGUUUUUAGUAGACACGGGAUUUCGCCAUGUUGGCCAGGCUGGUCUCGAACUUCUAACCUCAGGUGAUUCACCUGCCUUGGCCUCUGAAAGUGCUGGGAUUACAGGCAUGAGCCAGCCAACUUUUUAUGAUUUUUACUUGCAGUGCCCUUCUCUCGCCAUCCCUCAUUCUGCCUUCUAGACACCCAGCCACCUCUGCAGGAAUCUGAACGGAGCUCAGCUCUUUCCCCUACUGCCAGUGGUUACUGAAUAAGAUCCUUUUCACAGCUUUAACUGAUGUCCCGCUUUGUUUAUUGUGAACAUUUCUCAAACCUCAGUGUUUCUCAUACCACAUUCGUAAUUCUUUCCAUAUGCACACAUCACCUACACUUUUCUUUUUCUUUUUUUUUGAGACAGGGUUUCCUUCUGUAGCCCAGGCUGGAGUGCGGUGGUGUGACCACAGCUCACUGCAGCCUUGACCUCUUGGCUCAAGUGAUCUUCCUGCCUCAUCCCCCCGAGUAGCUAGGACUACAGCACACACCACCAUGACCGACUAAUUAAAAAAAUUUUUUUGUAGAGUUGGGAUCUUCCUAUGUUGCCCAGGCUGGUCUCAAACUCCUGGGCACAAGUGAUCCUCCUGCUUUGGCUUCCCAAAGUGCCGGGAUUACAGGCCUGAGCCUCUGCACUUGGCUACCCUUUUUUUUUUCUUUUGAGACAGAGUCUCGCUCUAUCACCCAGGCUGGAGUGCAAUGGUGUGAUCUCAACUCAUUGCAACCUCUGCCUCCUGGGUUCCAGCGAUUCUCCUGCCUCAGCCUCCCAAGUAGCUGGGAUGACAGUCGCCCACAACCAUGUCCAGCUAAUUUUUGUAUUUUUAGUAGAGACAGUGUUUCAGCAUGUUGGCCAGGCCGGUCUUGAACUCCUGAUCUCAAGUGAUCCACCUGCCUCGGCCUCCCGAAGUGCUGGGAUUACAGGCGUGAGCCACUGUGCCUGGCCUCCGGCUACACUUUUCUUUACUCAACAUUUUUCUUUAAAAUGACUCAUCUAAAAUAAGUUCACUCAUUUUUUUAAACAAUAACACCCACGAAAUUAUAUAUGAAUAUGCUAAUUAUAUUUAAAUGUAGAUGACAGUAACAAAAUGAAAAUAAAACAUAUCUGUCCACA